GUCUGCAUUUGAAAGUGAUCAUCAGCUGCCUGUGCCUUCGUCAUCGAUAGUACAGGCAGGUGAACUGCGCAAAGCAUUUUCUGUAUUUGGAGGGUCCAUCUCUAUCCUUGGAAAUGCUAGUGCUUUUCUCACA
ensembl:snoRNA SNORA71 Small nucleolar RNA SNORA71